rnacentral:rRNA from 1 species
CCUACGGGUGGCAGCAGUGGGGAAUAUUGCUCAAUGGGCGAAACCCUGAUGCAGCCACGCCGCGUGAGUGAUGAAGUUUCUCGGUACGUAAAGCUCUUUUAGCAGGGGAGAAAAUGCCGGUACGUGACUAAGAAGCCCUGGACAACGACGAGACAGAAGCCCCGUGACUACGGCGGGGGCAGGCGUUAUACGGAUUUACCGGGCGAAAAGGGAGCGUAGACGGGUGAACAAGACUGAAGGGCAAUCGCUGGGAGUAAUCUCGGAGGUGCAGUGGAAACUGGGCGGCUGGAGUGCAGGAGAGGUAAGCGGAAUGCGUGGUGUAGCGGUGAAAUGCGUAGAGAUGAGGAGGAACACCGGUGGCGAAGGCGGCUUACUGGACUGUAACUGACGUUGAGGCUCGAAAGCGUGGGGAUCAAACAGGAUUAGAUACCCCAGUAGUC